GCUUAUGGCCAUACCACUCCGAGUAAACCUGUUCUCGUCUGACAUCAGAAGCAAUGAAGGGUUGGGCCUGAUUAGUAUUUGUAUGGGAGACCUCCUGGGAAUACCAGGUGCUGUGGAUC
rnacentral:rRNA from 1 species